rnacentral:snoRNA from 1 species
UCUUGUGAUGAUCCAAACGACCCAAUAGGGAUUCCUCAUUCUUAACAAACCGUGUCGAUACUGUUGUUUUAAGUUUCAGCCUUGUCUGACU